rnacentral:rRNA from 1 species
CCUACGGGUGGCAGCAGUAGGGAAUAUUGCUCAAUGGGGGAAACCCUGAAGCAGCAACGCCGCGUGGAGGAUGAAGGUUUUCGGAUUGUAAACUCCUUUUGUUAGAGAAGAGAAUGACGGUAUCUAACGAAUAAGCACCGGCGAACUCCGUGCCAGCAGCCGCGGUAAUACGGAGGGUGCAAGCGUUACUCGGAAUCACUGGGCGUAAAGGGCGCGUAGGCGGGAUAGCAAGUCAGAUGUGAAAUCCUAUGGCUUAACCAUAGAACUGCAUUUGAAACUGUUAUUCUAGAGUAUGUGAGAGGUAGGUGGAAUUCUUGGUGUAGAGGUGAAAUCCGUAGAGAUCAAGAGGAAUACUCAUUGCGAAGGCGACCUGCUAGAACAUAACUGACGCUGAUGCGCGAAAGCGUGGGGAGCAAACAGGAUUAGAUACCCCAGUAGUC